UUCACACAGUCUAUGUAGGUGACGUAUUAAAUGUCAGUGUCACAUGAUCACCUCACAUAAUGCAGUGACACGCCCACCUGCAACACCUUAUAUCUCUAUAGAGUAACUGUAUGAGAGUGAGGUUCAGUCAGAAUAUGGAUAAAAUCAUCAUCGCGCUGUCUCUCUCUUUACUGUGGUCUCCAGGUUUUUUUGCAGGGACUGAUGUGACACAAACCCCCAUACUGUGGAAAAACAAGGGCGACAACAAUGCUACAAUACACUGCAGCCACACCAAGGGGGAAUCAUAUUUCCAGAUGUACUGGUUCAGACAACUGCCGGGAGAAACCAUGGAGCUGAUUGUUUUGACAACACCAGCCGAUAAAGAUUUCGACUUUGGAGAUUUCAGCAAAGAAAAGUUUUCGGCCGAGAAACCUGACGCUCGUAGCGGCACAUUCACAGUGAAGAACCUGGAGUCAGGAGAUAAAGGCUUGUAUUUCUGUGCUGUGAGUGAACACAGUGACACAGACGUCUGUGGAAGCUGAACAAAAACACUCACCAAAUCUAGUUUUUAUUAUGGACUGUAGGGGGACC